rnacentral:rRNA from 1 species
CCCUUAGAUGUUCUGGGCCGCACGCGUGCUACACUGAGUGGAUCAGCGGGUCAGGUUGCGCGAAAGCGUUUCCUAAUCUUUAAAUCCGCUCGUGAUGGGGAUUGACGGUUGCAAUUUUCUGUCAUGAACGAGGAAUACCUUGUAAGCGCGGGUCAUCAUCCCGCGCUGAAUACGUCCCUGCCCUUUGUACACACCGCCCGUCGCUCCCACCGAUUGAGUGGUCCGGUGAGGCUUUGGGAUCUGAGCGGAAAGAGCGUUUCGCUGUUUCUGCUCGGAAAACUCAGCCGAACCUUAUCAUUUAGAGGAAGGAGAAGUCGUAACA